UUGCUUUGGCAGCACAUACACUAAAAUUCAAAUGAUAACAGAGAAGUUUAGCAUGGCCCCUGUGCAAGGAUGACACACAGAUUUGUGAAGUGUUCCAUAUGUUU
ensembl:snRNA U6 U6 spliceosomal RNA